GCUAAUCUGCGAUAAGCGCCGGUAAGGUGAUAUGAACCGUUAUAACCGGCGAUACCCGAAUGGGGAAACCCAGUGUGACUCGUCACACUAUCAUUAACUGAAUCCAUAGGUUAAUGAGGCGAACCGGGGGAACUGAAACAUCUAAGUACCCCGAGGAAAAGAAAUCAACCGAGAUUCCCCCAGUAGCGGCGAGCGAACGGGGAGGAGCCCAGAGCCUGAAUCAGCAUGUGUGUUAGUGGAAGCGUCUGGAAAGGCGCGCGAUACAGGGUGACAGCCCCGUACACAAAAGCGCAUGUGCUGUGAGCUCGAUGAGUAGGGCGGGACACGUGGUAUCCUGUCUGAAUAUGGGGGGACCAUCCUCCAAGGCUAAAUACUCCUGACUGACCGAUAGUGAACCAGUACCGUGAGGGAAAGGCGAAAAGAACCCCGGCGAGGGGAGUGAAAAAGAACCUGAAACCGUGUACGUACAAGCAGUGGGAGCCCCACCACCAAAGCAUUUGCUGUACCGCGUUGACGGAGCGAAGCGACGUCAAACCGAUAAAACAGCAGUGUAAAGUGAGCCGCAGGGCGCUUUGCGCGACAGCGCAAAGGCAGGCGGUUUCGCGUAGCGAAAGCGAAUGCUUUGGGGUGGGGUGACUGCGUACCUUUUGUAUAAUGGGUCAGCGACUUAUAUUCUGUAGCAAGGUUAACCGAAUAGGGGAGCCGGAGGGAAACCGAGUCUUAAUUGGGCGUUAAGUUGCAGGGUAUAGACCCGAAACCCGGUGAUCUAGCCAUGGGCAGGUUGAAGGUUGGGUAACACUAACUGGAGGACCGAACCGACUAAUGUUGAAAAAUUAGCGGAUGACCUGUGGCUGGGGGUGAAAGGCCAAUCAAACCGGGAGAUAGCUGGUUCUCCCCGAAAGCUAUUUAGGUAGCGCCUCGUGAAUUCAUCUCCGGGGGUAGAGCACUGUUUCGGCUAGGGGGCCAUCCCGGCUUACCAACCCGAUGCAAACUGCGAAUACCGGAGAAUGUUAUCACGGGAGACACACGGCGGGUGCUAACGUCCGUCGUGAAGAGGGAAACAACCCAGACCGCCAGCUAAGGUCCCAAAGUCAUGGUUAAGUGGGAAACGAUGUGGGAAGGCCCAGACAGCCAGGAUGUUGGCUUAGAAGCAGCCAUCAUUUAAAGAAAGCGUAAUAGCUCACUGGUCGAGUCGGCCUGCGCGGAAGAUGUAACGGGGCUAAACCAUGCACCGAAGCUGCGGCAGCGACACUGUGUGUUGUUGGGUA
rnacentral:rRNA from 1 species